AAGAAAAGAAGUGUCAAUUUUAAGCUGCUAACUUUAAUUUUUAGCGGUUAAAUUCCGUUAUUUUCUUU
rnacentral:tRNA from 1 species